rnacentral:lncRNA from 13 species
AGCAGAAGAGAAGAAAAGGCAGAAAGGGGAAGCAGGGAGGGGAGGCUGAAGGUGAAGGUGGAGGCUGAGGGAAGAGAGAGGAAGAAGGACAUAAAAAGGGGAGCUGUGUGGAAGUGGGGAUUUGUUGAGGGGAGAGGACCAGAGACAGGCAUGGGGGCAAACAGCCCCGUGAGCCACAGAGGCAGGCACUUUGAGCACCCCUGUCCUUGCUAAGGCAGAGUCUGACAGCAGAGGAAACAAACUGGACAUGGUGGCCUGGGUAAUCACUCCCACCCACUCAGCCCUGCCUGCUGCACACCCCCACCUCUGCACUGGCUUUUAUUGAGUGCCGCAGGGCAGGGAUUGAACUCCAGGUUUGGCAGCAGAGUAAAUAACAGCAACAUUGGUCUCUCUGGCCCGGGAGGGAGGAGGGCUGGUUUUAAUCAAAGGUAAAUAACAGUCAGUAUUGUCUGACCCUUAAUCCAAUUUCCCAGAACUGAAGAAUAAUGUUCCAACUUAAACAUGUGGCACUGGCCCACUGGAGAGAGAUGGCUACUCAGCCAGUGAGCUACUGGGCACUGGACAGCUGAGGAGAGCAGGGCUGGGGGAGAUGCCACAAGGCAGUGAUGCGGAUGCGGCGAAGGCAGCAAAUCCUCCGGCUGUGCGUGCCCUCCCCGGACUGCUGCUCCAUCCCCGCCUGUCGUGCUCGCGCGUGUGCAUGGCUGGGAGCGCUGCCUAGGUGCGGCCGGGAAUGAGACAGCUGCGGGGCAAGGAACGGUACAGCUCCAAGGGGUGACACGAGUGGGGGACAUCCCCCCGCAAACACAGAUCUGCAGGGCUGCAAGUUGCUUGAGGACCGGGGUCUUUUGUGCCUCCACUUCAUCUCUGUCAUGCCCCGUAUGGAAGCUGGGAGCAGUCGCCCCUCCAGAAGCAGAAGGCGAAGUCGUUCGCAAUGAAUCCAUGGCAGCUUCGAUCGAGCGGUGAGCUGGAGCACCUACUCACAGGCCACUCCUUCAUGUGACUGAACAGAGACCUUUCCCAGCACUUGCCAAGGAGAGCAGAGCCCUGGAUUUACCUCCUGCGCACCCGGGCACCCCCAGCGCAGGCACUGUGAGGUAAGCCAACCUCGGCACCUCUGUCUGUGCCUCUCUUCAUCCCGCCCUCCCUCCCUCGCUCUCGUUGCUUGUUCCCCAGAGGUGUGAGGGAGGAGAAGGGCAGGGGUUUCUGCUAUGCUGUGAAUAAAAUCUAGGCUUUCAUCAGCGCCCUCCCCACAACGAAGGGCUGCUCCGUCCCCUCUGAGC